rnacentral:rRNA from 1 species
GUCCUCGAGACGGCGGAGAAACCUACUCUAGGUGGCGGAGGGCUCCGGAAAUAGAUCGGGUCGAGUGAUCCUUCGGCGCUCUCCUCCUCGAGUUGGCCCGUAGCGGUCGGUCUCUUCUUCCUCUCCGCGCCUACGGUCGGUCCCUUCGCCUAACCGAGCGGAAGCGGUACAGCACUCGCGGUGGCGGCGGAGAUGUAGGCGGAACGAGACGUAUCGUGGUACACACGCCGCCGCCCUGUCCGUUGGUGACCUACUAAAACCCCUCGCUCGUAGGUAGUUCGUUACCGGCUACGGUACCCUAAUAUCGUUCGUUGGCAGUAACUCAAUAAAAAAGAACGUACUUUAAAAAGAUGACUAAGGAGUUACGAGACAAGUAAUGAAAGAAGAACAAAAUAACAAAAAAAUGAAAGGUUAAAGCUACAUUACCUAUAACUAACACCAGCAGAUCUAUAGGGGAACAUAAGGAACCCAAAUUAUUUCAAGUUUAUUAUUACCUAAAAAAAGCACGACGUUUUAUAUAGAGUUUUGGAAGGGUAAAAACAGAGGUUUCCUGUUUCCUUUAGAACCUAAUCAAUCGAAUAAAAAUGUCAAGUAUAGGUAACUUGAUAUACAUCAAAAGUUGAUCUGGAGAAAAAUAUCAAGGAUAGGUAACUUGAUAUACGUGACAUCUGCUUGUUGCACUGUACUCUACAACGUUGCGACCCGGUUUGUUAGUAUGACAUCGUCGUUAUCAGCCGGGUACUAUUUAGAAACAAUUCACGAAGAAAGAGAAAUGGAGAAAUGAGUACACAGAGACUGAAACUAAAGUGUCAUCAUAUACAAAAAUCGAUCCGUGUCACAAAUGUCUAAACUAUUUCUUCCCAUCUACUUCUUAGAUAGUCUUCUAAAACGACUUACCUUGAACGUAAAACUACAAUACUCACAUCUUUGUAUAAGACGUGAAAAUCCUUUAAUCUAUUAUCCUGGCUGAUUUCCUCUUGAACCCAAUUUGAUAAAGAAAUAAACAAACACGUUGGUUGGAAUAAACCAAGGCUGACCUUCUAUUAUACUGGCCGAUUGCCUUUUGAACCGAUUUUAUAUAGAAAUAAUUAACACGUUGUUACGAAUAAACCAAAACUAGCUAACGAGCUGUACAACUUAUUACCAUCACACGUACACACCGUCACGUAAAAAAAGGAAGUAAAACUCUUAAAUGCAAAAUCGAUGUCUCAUCCUCCACGCUUACCGGCCAGGUCUUCGAGGAAUUUUGUUAAGCUACUUUCGAUGAUACCUCCGGGAACCCACAACACCACAUACCCGGGUCUCUGUUAUCGGGUCGGUUUUACGGGUAUCCAUAUAGUAUAUAAAGAUACUUCUGUCUGUCUUCUUUGGGAUCUAGCCGUUUCACAAGAGAGGGCGUGUAAGUCACGGAGCGAGAGUUUGUUACUGGUGUGGCCGCGCCCGCGUCAGUUAUAAAGAUCGGCGACGAAGAGGUACACAAAGUCGUAGACCUACGGGCCUCUUCAGGAGUCGUCCUGGUAUCUCUACGGUGACCUACGUCUCCUCUAUGUACGGUUCAAAAGAGGCCUACUUCUUAUGAGGUUGUUAUUGGUUAGACUUCUGGUCGACGGAUUUCAUCGAAGGAAAGACUUUUUAUCUGUUCGUAAGGAAACUGGUCUUACUAAAGGAACCAUAUGUGACUUCUACAAGACUUAUAAACUACGUCGUCCUUCACGGUCCGUACCUUCUCCGGGAAUCAGUGAAGAGUAGCCUAAUGUGACUCAUACUCUUAAGUGUUGGGGCAAUACCCCAACCACUAAUAUAUCAUCUUUUGUUGGCUAUCAAAUCAAUAGACAACAUCUAUCAAAAAGAUGCGGAUAAAGGAGAGUCAUUCUACGCAUUAAAUUCGAAGUAUCCGAAUAAUACUUUUGAUAAAGAAUUAAAGUACUUUAAAAUUCAUCCGUUUUUCUAUACGUAUAUGACUGUGGUGAGUCGUUCUGUUUUAAACUUGGUACUUUUGGUUGCGAUCGCAGCAGUAAACAUCUAUCAAAAAUAUACGGAUAAAGGAGAGUCAUUCUACGUAUUAAAUUCGAGUCAUCCAAAUAAUACUUUUGAUAAAGAAUUACAGUACUUCAAAAUUCUUCCGUUUUUCUAUACGGAUAUGACUGUGGUGAGUCGUUCUGUU